UCAAACUUGGUCAUUUAGAGGAAGUAAAAGUCGUAACAAGGUUUCCGUAGGUGAACCUGCGGAAGGAUCAUUCAUAGUACUCUUUUAUAGGUAUUAUAGGUUCCAAUGUAAGUUUUGAAAACAAAAUGGUAAUUUGCCGAGUAAGAAAGGGAAUGGGCCCUGAGAAUUUGCGAAAGGAGCUCUAUUCCUAAGCAAAUGAAAGGAGGGGUCCUUUCUUCAGUACUCUCGGCGCAAUAAGAAUAUUGCUCUUUUUAGAGGCAGUGUCCAAGUGUGUAUAAAAAUCUACUUUUUAAAUGUUAAUGAAAAUUUUAUACAGUUUUACUGUAACUUUUGUACAACUUGUAACAAUGGAUCUCUUGGUUCAUGCAUCGAUGAAGAACGCAGC
rnacentral:misc_RNA from 1 species